AGUUGUCAUGACAGCGGAAAAAGACUUCUGAAAUCCCUGUAGCGUAAUGUAAAUUUUGUGGUCUGCCUGGGUGACACAUGUGGGUCGCGUGGAGUACGUAAUUUUUUUAAACCACUGCCAUUAACUCUUAACAGAAUAAGAAAACUCGAAAAUAAAAUGUCUUUCUGGUUCGUUCAUAAUCCUACCUUGCCGUUUGGAGAGACGUCGAAUUCGAAUACAAGACGUCCAGCCCUGACAAAGGAGCACAUGGGAAAAUUGUGUACAAUGAUGAUUUUUGUGCAGGAAUAGAAGUACUACUACUACGACUUUACGAAUCUUGAUAAUAAUAGUCCAUCUAUAUUUGGCAGAACCUAUUUCAGUGAGACCUUCACAUUGUCACUCUUUGUGACAAAUUUUGUGACAUAAAGAGAUCAGUAUGGUGACAGAAGAACAUGUGUUCUACAAAUGUUUCUGAAAUACCAGCCUGCUUUGUAUGUAAAACACAGCAACUUAUAUUUCAAUCACUAUUAAUGCUCAGAUUGGCAAUUUUCAGCUGCCGUGUAUCUACCAUUAAACUGUUAGAUUUCCACAAGAGGAUCAUGCAAGAAUAUUACAACACAUGGUGAGCAGCCAGAAGAAGAGGGGGGCAAACCUGUCUUUACGACCAGAACGUCGGCGUUUGUCCGGAUAAAAUGGAGCAACGAAGACGGCCGUUUUCGAUAGCUGAGAUUAAGGAAAAAACGCCCGUAAUAGUUUGAAAUCAAUUUAGUAGCAAAUUUGUUUCAUUAUUUUUGUAGAUACAAGGAGCUAGCCUAAUGGUUCAACCAAUAGAGGGUGAAUUUAAUCAAUCGUAAUCCGAAGAAACAGAUAGUUUGCCGAUUUGAAACAUUCUUUCAACAAGCUGAGCAAUGUCAAUACGCUUUUCAUCUGGAAUGUCGUUACCAAUACCAUCAGCUAGUUGAGUAGGCCUACCCGAUAAUUCGCCCAAACGUCGGCUCAUUCUUGUUGGAGCACUUCAUAACAACAAUGGUACUUCAAGAUCUCGUGCAUAUUACGCAGCCUGCCAAACCUUAAAUCAAUUGUUUUCACUUUCAACUCGGAUCAUUCUUUGGAUUACGACCGUCGUGUCUUGCCAGCAUGAUCAUCCGGUGGCAAAAGCAGGUAGCCAUUACGAAUUACGUGCCAGUCUGGAAAUUCCUGUUAAUUCUCGUGUGAUGGCCGUGCGAUGUGAAUGCCAUGAUGGGUUGCUGCUGUCAUUUGAUCUUCAACUAGAAUCGUUGAGAAAACACAGCAUGACCAUGGUCAUGCUGGAAUGGUUGACUAUCCUUGGCUGGGUAUUGAAAAUGUGUCACAACCUGAAAUCUUGAUUUUCUGUUGCCAGAGAUGACCGAUCUCUCAGCACCAAACAAUUGGAAUUGAGGUAACAAGAGGCUGGGCAUAGAGAAGAAGACGGGUAGUUUUGUUCUAUAUUCCAGUGGCCAUUUUGUUUGGACGUGUUCCGAAGCAACUUGCGUGUUCUUUGCAUAGAACUUCCAUCCAUUUCAACGAAAUCCAAGUAGUCGGUUGUUGAUUGAAGGAUUGAUGUUGUCAGUAAUUCUAAAUAUUGGAGAAACGCUGCUGCCUAGCACAAUUAGCUUGUCGAUCCUUGAUCGUGACAUGACGUAUCUCCUGGCGUUAUCGAAGCUGGUCAAGAGGAGAAAAAAAAAUAUUUGUACGGGAGUAGGACAACUACAACUUUUAUUCAUCCUAACAAAUCAUGCUAGACUUGGUUGACAAGUUACUAAAAAUGGAUUGGUAGAUUGGAGCUUUACGCACUGGUUGUAUCCUUACACGCGAAUUAAAUAUGGCCCCUUAUUUAAUUGAUCCACGGCCAACUGAGGUCGUUGAUGACUUGAUCUGUGUCUGUAUGGAGGAGUUGGCGUUGGCUAUUUAUCUUGUUCCUGCUGUGCUUUGUUUAAACGCUUAGGAACGUAUUUUUUUGUGGCUGCUAUCACAAUCGAAAAGACAAAAUAAUCGCAGUGACUAGAGAGGAUGUUGAUGGGCGUUUGGUUUUUUAAAAAGCUAUAUUCGUUGGAAGGACGACCGAAGAUUUCCCGAUUCUUAUACUUUUUCUCAUGUUAUGGUAUUUUUACAAAAAAAAAUUCAAGUGCAUAUCUGGGCUCCCUUCUUUUCUGUGGCCCCGUUUCCCCUUGACUUAUGAUAAGCCCGUAGGGGGUCAUGCCCCUACUGUGAUCAGCAGCAAAGGUUGUG